UACAGAGGUCUCAAGCGUUGUUCGGAUUCAUUGGGCGUAAAGGGUGUGUAGGUGGCGCCGUAAGUCGGGUGUGAAAUUUCGGAGCUUAACUCCGAAACUGCAUUCGAUACUGCGGUGCUUGAGGACUGGAGAGGAGACUGGGAAUUCAUGGUGUAGCAGUGAAAUGCGUAGAGAUCAUGAGGAAGACCAGUGGCGAAGGCGGGUCUCUGGACAGUUCCUGACACUGAGACACGAAGGCCAGGGGAGCAAACGGG
rnacentral:rRNA from 1 species